CCGCCGCAUCCCGUACUUUUUCCCCUUUUUUCUUACAUCGACGAUUCCUCUAUGUUUAUGGUCGUGGGGUGCUGCCGUGCUGGGAGCUAACUCACAUUCAUCAAAUUCGGUGCGUGCGUGCGAGCGGUUGUGGGAAUCGCCGGGUGGAGUGGUGCGGCCGGCGGGCGACUAGUGUGCAUUGAGGCCGGCGGCGAGCGGCUUCAAUCGACAUUGCUGCCGGCGAGCGGCGAGCGGCUUCAUCUUGGGAAUAUGGCGCGCGGCGAGCGGCUUCAGCUGGGGAUCGCGGCGAGCGGCGGGUGUCCUCGGCCGCCUGAAUGGAUUGGGGCUUGAAGUUUCUGGACUCGGGCGGCGACGUCGUCAGCGGAAGGGCGUCGGCCUCCACACAUCACUGGGCGCCGGACGAGCGAACGCGACCGCCGCGAGCGCCUCUGGCCCGAGCCACCCGCUAUCGUCUGCGGCGGUUCCAGCGCGCCUCGCGAACUAUAAUACUUCCGCCGCGGCUCCUACAUCUGGUGCCAGUCGUCCACACCAUCAGGCAUCAGCUACUUGCGUCCGGCGAGCUCCGCAUCACUUCAUCCACGCAAUUGCUACUUGGUGGGAUUAUACGCCAAGGUGAAUCCUUUCCUGCAGCGUUAUGCUUUUUUUUGUUAGAUUCCGUCCCCAAUCGCAGAGGUGGAUCCAUUGAUCGCCCCUGGACUCCACCUGAUUGCAAAAGCACAAAACUUUCUGGCAGCCCUGGCUCCAACAACGAUGAGGAACAGGGGAAUUGCAGGGCCUUAAAUUUACUCUAGGAACUUACAAUUUGGGUUGCUUUUUCGCUAAAUUUGUUUGGAGUGCAAAGAAUUGAGGCCGUAAGUAGAUGUUCAGUUCUAGUUCUUUUUAAUGAUCAAUGCAAAUUAGAGGCCGAUUGAAUUAGCUUGUGUGCGUUUUCCUUCACAAAAUGCAAGAAACGACUGCUGUACAUUGUGCUCAUCAUGUGCAUCACUGUCCAUUUUCUUGGCGAAAUAAAGAAAGAUGCCUGUGUUUUCUGGAUAGUUUAGUUAUUAUUAUGUGGCAUCAGAGCUGCACCAUAAUUAUUGUUUUGUGAUUUAAAUCCUGCUAACCAUGUUGAUUCGAUGCUUUUGAGAUGUAAUUUCCUUUUUUUUUCUGUCAUGUAGCCGCGUUGGUGUUUUCCUUUUGCUGUUUUCGGUGGUACGAAAGCUGUGUUUGGCGCUGGCUUUUUCUUUGUUUUCCCCUGGUACUCUUCGGUACCGCCCCAUUUCUACCAAUUUGGAUGAGUAAGUGCAGGUCUUAUUAUUUCCCAUGGUUAGAUAUGUGAAUUAAAUGAAGCUCACACAUGGUUUAUAUGAUUGUUGCAAUGAAUGUUCAGAAUGAGAUAGAGAGUGUGGUUAUUUAAAGAAAAUAGUCAGAUUCCAUAUGUUGUAGUAUUUGUAAUUUUUCUCUACAUGGUCAUUUUUGUAUUAAUAAAGCCUCCACACAAUGUUAAUCUUGUUUUUACCUUAUUUGGCAUUAUAUAUUUUUCAGUCUAGCCUGCUGCAUCCUCCUGCUUUCGACAAGAUUGACCCGUCUAGCCGAUUUUGUCUUACGCUUACUAUCUUUGUAAAUGUCUUAGAAUUACUUCCUUAUUUCUAAUGCAAUUGAACUUCAUUCUGCCUUUUUUUUCUUCAGGAAUAUAUUCAACCUGUUUAGGAGGUAAAUAUUUUUUUGAUCCACCUAUAAGCAUUUGACUAAUUUAUCGCUACACCUUCUUAUUUUAACAUGGCUGGAUUUUAUUCUUUCAUUGAUGCCAACAAGGUUAUGACUUUAUUUUAUAAUGGAAUAACUUCUGAUCCUUCAUGGAAUGAAUUUUUUAUGCUCACCUUCUACACGUCAUAAUGGAAUAACUUCUGAUCCUUCAUGGAAUGAAUUUUUUAUUUUGUCUGCUUAUAUACAUACAUCAGCCACUUAUUGGUGGAACAAUGGAAAAUCAUUUUUAUGUCUAAUCUCUACUAGAGCUUACAGUUUUAUCAUAUGUGGCUAAUCCUUGAACAAACAUUUUUUUACGUUUGCUCUGCCCAGGCUUUGAUUCCAUAUUGGAAGAUCCAUAUCAUCCCUUUUUCUUAAGAUUCAUGCUCAUCUUUAACCUCUAUCUGUUUACCACUUCAUGACUUCCAUAGACAUUUGUUUAUUUACUCUCAUUUGAUAUUGAUAAUUCAUCUACAUUGUUAUCUCCAUGCUUUUCCAUUUAUUGCACACCCAUUAUGCUAUUUGGUCAUUUGCAUUUCGCCAUUUUGGCAGUAGGCCAUUAGCUUCAAGCAAGACACUACUUCUAAACUUUGCUCGAUAUUUAUCUCUAGUUGGGCGGUCAGCCGGCGGUGGAUGGCUUUGGCGCAACACAAAAUGACAACUAGAAAUAAAGGAGUACAUCUGUCCAGCUACCAAUAAAGGAAUUGGUAUGUGUGAUGGACAGCCCCCUCGGCGUGUUCUCUGUUGGCUUCAACAAUUUUAACGGCAGGUUCAGUUUUGGCCACUGCUGCACAUUCAAGGCUGACAGCGGGAAGAGGGAUGCAGCAGAGGAUCGGAAGAUGCAUUACAAUGGUCGAUACUGGAGGCUCCCGUCCCCACCAAAGGCCUCAGGCACCCAAUGGCAGUGGCGCCUUAGCUCUUAUCAGUGACUCCAGCAGUAGCGUCUUCGUAUCGGAUAUCAGCUCCCUGGACAAGUCUCUCCGGCACUGCUUCCCUACGGGACUAGCUGGCUAUCACAAUGCGGCGGAGAAAAUUCUAGUGACUGUCAAAAGAUAAGCUACGACAUGAGCUAGCGUGCAAGACAGUGACAUAAUUGUGUUCUUCAGGUGUAGUCUUUCCCAGGUAGAUAAGCUAUGGGAGAAAUCAACGCCGGAAAUCAAACUGUAAUUAGUGCCUCUAAAAGCCCUUUUUCCAAAGAUCGAAUUUCAUUGUACCUGAGUGGAAAUUAUGGUAUUUGCUACGGAAUUCUUACGUUAUAGACAUCCGAUUCAUUUCAGUUUGUACUGAAUCCUUCGGUGAACAAUAGAACAAUAUAUGUUUGCGCAAAUUUGAUUA